rnacentral:rRNA from 1 species
GAUGAACGCUGGCGGCGUGCUUAACACAUGCAAGUCGAACGGGAAAUAUUUCAUUGAGACUUCGGUGGAUUUGAUCUAUUUCUAGUGGCGGACGGGUGAGUAACGCGUGGGUAACCUGCCUUAUACAGGGGGAUAACAGUCAGAAAUGGCUGCUAAUACCGCAUAAGCGCACAGAGCUGCAUGGCUCAGUGUGAAAAACUCCGGUGGUAUAAGAUGGACCCGCGUUGGAUUAGCUUGUUGGUGGGGUAACGGCCCACCAAGGCGACGAUCCAUAGCCGGCCUGAGAGGGUGAACGGCCACAUUGGGACUGAGACACGGCCCAGACUCCUACGGGAGGCAGCAGUGGGGAAUAUUGCACAAUGGGGGAAACCCUGAUGCAGCGACGCCGCGUGAAGGAAGAAGUAUCUCGGUAUGUAAACUUCUAUCAGCAGGGAAGAUAGUGGCGGUACCUGACUAAGAAGCCCCGGCUAACUACGUGCCAGCCGCCGCGGUAA